AGUGCAGAUGGCGAAUGCCUUGGCACCAGAAACCGAUGAAGGACGUAUGAGGCUGCGAUAAGCCUCGGGGAGCUGCCAACAGAGCUGUGAUCCGAGGAUUUCCGAAUGAGGAAACUCAGCGCGAGUAAUGUCGCGUUAUUUCUCCCAGAACACAUAUGGGAGAUAAAGGGAACGUGGGGAAGUGAAACAUCUCAGUACCCACAGGAAGAGAAAACAACCGUGAUUCCGUUAGUAGUGGCGAGCGAAAGCGGAAGAGGCUAAACCAAUCAUGUGCCAAGCCGGCAGGCGUUGCAUGAUCGGUGUCGUGGGACUAAAUCGAAUUGACUGCCGUUAAUUCAACAAGUCAGAAAAUAAUGAAAUAGAUGAAGGACGUGGGAAAGUCCGGCAUAGAAGGUGAGACCCCUGUAGUCGAAAUUUCAUUAUCUUGUUUUUAGUAUCCCAAGUAAUACCGGACUCGUGUAAUCCGGUAUGAAUCUGGCGGGACCACCCGCUAAGCCUAAAUACUCUCUGGUGACCGAUAGUGAACAAGUACCGUGAGGGAAAGGUGAAAAGAACCCCGCAAGGGGAGUGAAAUAGAAUCUGAAACCGUUUGCAUACAAACCGUUGGAGCUGCCUUGUGCAGUGACAGCGUGCCUUUUGAAGAAUGAGUCUACGAGUUAGUGUGAUGUGGCAAGGUUAACCCGUCGAGGGGAAGCCGUAGCGAAAGCGAGUCUGAAUAGGGCGACUGAGUAGCAUGAUCUAGACCCGAAGCGAGGUGAUCUACGCAUGGCCAGGUUGAAGCGCGGGUAAGACCGCGUGGAGGACCGAACCCACUAAUGUUGAAAAAUUAGGGGAUGAGCUGUGUGUAGGGGUGAAAGGCCAAUCAAACUUCGUGAUAGCUGGUUCUCUCCGAAAUGCAUUUAGGUGCAGCGUCACGUGUUUCUUACCGGAGGUAGAGCUACUGGAUGGUCGAGGGGGCCUACAAGCUUACCAACAUCAGCCAAACUCCGAAUGCCGGUAAGUGAGAGCGUGGCAGUGAGACUGUGGGGGAUAAGCUUCAUAGUCGAGAGGGAAACAACCCAGAAUAGCAACUAAGGUCCCAAAGCCUGUGCUAAGUGGAAAAGGAUGUGAAGUCGCAUAGACAACCAGGAGGUUGGCUUAGAAGCAGCCACCCUUAAAAGAGUGCGUAAUAGCUCACUGGUCAAGUGAUUUCGCGCCGACAAUGUAACGGGGCUCAAGCACAGCACCGAAGUUCUGUCAUUCACACACUAUCCCGGUCGCAAGAUCCAGGAGUGUGGAUGGGUAGGAGAGCGUCGUGUGACUGGUGAAGCGGCAGAGGAAUCUAGCCGUGGAAGUCACACGAGUGAGAAUGUAGACAUGAGUAGCGAGAGAGGGGUGAGAAACCCCUCCGCCGAAAGACCAAGGGUUCCUGGGCCAGGCUAAUCCGCCCAGGGUAAGUCGGGACCUAAGGCGAGGCCGUCAGGCGUAGUCGAUGGACAACUGGUUGAUAUUCCAGUACCCGCUUUAAUUCGCCCAUGACGAACCCACUAAUGCUAAGAGUUUGAAUCCUGUUCGGCGUAAGCCGCGUGGGUGGAUGGCUCGAACCGGUGUGGUAGUAGUUAAGCAAUGGUGUGACACAGGAAGGCAGUCCAACCCGGGCGAUGGUUGUCCCGGGGUAAGGUCGUAGGGCGUUACGUAGGCAAAUCCGCGUAACACAUGCCUGAGAGCUGAUGCCGAGCCGUAAGGCGAAGUGGAUGAUCCUAUGCUGUCAAGAAAAGCAUCUAGCGAGAAUUAUUGCGGCCCGUACCCGAAACCGACACAGGUGGUCAGGUAGAGAAUACCAAGGCGAUCGAGAGAAUCAUGGAUAAGGAACUCGGCAAAAUGCCCCCGUAACUUCGGGAGAAGGGGGGCCCUUUGACGUGUAGGAGUUUUCCUCCGAAGCGUUGGAAGGCCGCAGAGACCAGGCUCAAGCGACUGUUUACCAAAAACACAGGUCCGUGCGAAGUAGCAAAACGAUGUAUACGGACUGACGCCUGCCCGGUGCUGGAAGGUUAAGGGGACUGGUUAGCCGCAAGGCGAAGCUGAGAACUUAAGCCCCAGUAAACGGCGGUGGUAACUAUAACCAUCCUAAGGUAGCGAAAUUCCUUGUCGGGUAAGUUCCGACCUGCACGAAUGGCGUAACGACUUGAGCACUGUCUCCACCAUGAACUCGGCGAAAUUGCAUUACGAGUAAAGAUGCUCGUUACGCGCGGAAAGACGGAAAGACCCCGGGACCUUUACUAUAUCUUGAUAUUGGUACUCGGAACGUUUUGUGUAGCAUAGGUGGGAGACUUUGAAGCGGCACGCCAGUGUUCGUGGAGUCAUCGUUGAAAUACCACUCUAAUCGUUUUGAGUUUCUAACCUCGGUCCAUGAUCUGGAUCAGGGACAGUGUCUGGUGGGUAGUUUGACUGGGGCGGUCGCCUCCUAAA
rnacentral:rRNA from 1 species